rnacentral:rRNA from 1 species
CGGACGAACGCUGGCGGCGUGCUUAACACAUGCAAGUCGAGCGGUAAGGCUCCUUCGGGAGUACACGAGCGGCGAACGGGUGAGUAACACGUGAGUAACCUGCCCCAAUCAUCGGGAUAACCAUUGGAAACGAUGGCUAAUACCGAAUACGACCACCGAAGGCAUCUUCUGGUGGUGGAAAGCUCCGGCGGAUUGGGAUGGACUCGCGGCCUAUCAGCUUGUUGGUGAGGUAAUGGCUCACCAAGGCAACGACGGGUAGCCGGCCUGAGAGGGUGACCGGCCACACUGGGACUGAGACACGGCCCAGACUCCUACGGGAGGCAGCAGUGGGGAAUAUUGGACAAUGGGCGCAAGCCUGAUCCAGCAACGCCGCGUGAGGGAUGACGGCCUUCGGGUUGUAAACCUCUUUCAGUAGGGACGAAGCGAAAGUGACGGUACCUACAGAAGAAGGACCGGCCAACUACGUG